GACGAACGCUGGCGGCGUGCUUAACACAUGCAAGUCGAACGGAAAGGCCCUGCUUUUGUGGGGUGCUCGAGUGGCGAACGGGUGAGUAACGCGUGAGUAACCUGCCCUUGACUUUGGGAUAACUUCAGGAAACUGGGGCUAAUACCGGAUAGGAGCUCCUGCUGCAUGGUGGGGGUUGGAAAGUUUCGGCGGUUGGGGAUGGACUCGCGGCUUAUCAGCUUGUUGGUGGGGUAGUGGCUUACCAAGGCUUUGACGGGUAGCCGGCCUGAGCGGGUGACCGGCCACAUUGGGACUGAGAUACGGCCCAGACUCCUACGGGAGGCAGCAGUGGGGAAUAUUGCACAAUGGGGGGAAGCCUGAUGCAGCAACGCCGCGUGCGGGAUGACGGCCUUCGGGUUGUAAACCGCUUUCGCCUGUGACGAAGCGUGAGUGACGGUAAUGGGUAAAGAAGCACCGGCUAACUACGUG
rnacentral:rRNA from 1 species